rnacentral:rRNA from 1 species
AUUGAACGCUGGCGGCAUGCUUUACACAUGCAAGUCGAACGGUAACAGGCCGCAAGGUGCUGACGAGUGGCGAACGGGUGAGUAAUGCAUCGGAACGUGCCCAGUCGUGGGGGAUAACUACUCGAAAGAGUAGCUAAUACCGCGUACGAUCUAUGGAUGAAAGCGGGGGACCGUAAGGCCUCGCGCGAUUGGAGCGGCCGAUGUCAGAUUAGGUAGUUGGUGGGGUAAAGGCUCACCAAGCCAACGAUCUGUAGCUGGUCUGAGAGGACAACCAGCCACACUGGGACUGAGACACGGCCCAGACUCCUACGGGAGGCAGCAGUGGGGAAUUUUGGACAAUGGGCGCAAGCCUGAUCCAGCAAUGCCGCGUGCAGGAAGAAGGCCUUCGGGUUGUAAACUGCUUUUGUACGGAACGAAACGGCUCUGGUUAAUACCCGGGGCUAAUGACGGUACCGUAAGAAUAAGCACCGGCUAACUACGUG